CAGAAACAGACGAUACAUUCUAUAUCAUUAUCCUUCCGACAUGGUACAAGAUAACUAUGGAAAUUGUGAAUUUAAAAAAAGAAAAGAAAAAAAGUAGUAGUAAUUAAUAUAAAAUUCACUAAUGAACAUGAACCACAAAUUCUGGUGUCCAUAGAAAUCACCAUUUUCUGCAACACCAAUAUGUACACAGCUCUAUAUAUUAACCCACAUAGAUAUCGAAAAAUGUGAAAGCAUUUGCAGUAGUUUUUACAUGCGUACAACCAGUCUCUAUAUGUAAGCUACCCGUGAUAACACCGGUUAAAAUAAAAGACGGACUAGCUCAAAGAGCCAUCUCUGCUUGCAAUGCAGCAAGUUCAUCUUCUUCAGCUGUACGCUUCUGAGGAAUGGGCCGAGCAGGUUGCUUCCCUGCAGGAACAUGGACUGGAGCAGCAGGAGCUGUAGUUGCUGGUUGAAGCAGUUGCUCUUCUAAUUCAGCACCUUCCAAUUCUUCAAGUUCUGCCUCCAAUUCAUCCUCAUCAAAA
rnacentral:misc_RNA from 1 species